UAUGUAUGUACAAUUGAUUCCGCUUCUUCAACACGGCACGACGCUUGCCAUUUCAUAAUUGCAGCCAAAGAAGUAGGACGUGUCGGAGCUUUGUUAUAGUGAAAAUAGCCUAAAAAUAAAUAUGUGCAUAUGUAUAAAAGUUAAAUUAAAAUUAUCAAAAAUAUUUUACCCGUACUACGUUUUCGUAGAAUACAACAAAUAAGCGCGCGCCGUUACACGCAUACAUAUACAUACAUACAUAUGCACGUAAUGGACAAACAGAAAUCGAACUAAAGUGAAGUUUGUAUUAAUUAUUAAGUGGAUUAAUAUUUUCGGUUCUCAGAAACGUAUGUACAGCUGCACACACAUACAUAUACCAUAGCGUGCGUUUACCGUUGCUUGGUCGCCAACAAAGUUGAGCGUCCCAGUCGUAAGUUGCGGAACGUGUUUUAAAAAAACAUAGUUCUGGGUCGCACCUUUUUUACGCAAAACAGCACGCAUGCAAAUUUUCCAAGGCAAAUGUGGGUGCUGGGUGCAUUCUAUUGCGGUGCCUUCUAGAAGUGUUUCAGAAUAAUGCAUCCAGAAGCAUGCCCAAACACCCGUUUCGGGAACGUAUUCCGAAACAAAUAGUUCUGGGUCGUAUCUUUUUUACGCAAAACAGCACGCAUGCAAAUUUAACUAGCAAAUGUGCGUGCUGGGGGCAGCCUUUUGGGUGCCAUCUGGGUGUAUUUCAAUAUAGUGCAUCCAGGUGUAUUUUAGUGGGAAUGUAAAAAAACCAAACUCAAACCCGAAGGUUGCCGAUGCCCAUUUUUUUAGAAUCGUCUUUUUUCGGUACUGUUCUCUUGACAAACAAAUAAUAAAGACAAAAGGGAAUAUGCAAGGAAGCGCGCGGUUUUUCUUGUCUCUUGCAUUUCUCGUCAGUUGCAUUUUUAGUUCUGAAAAGUGAAGUUCGUGCCUCGUGUUUUGAAAAAGUUUGUUGCUUUCUGCCACCAAUUUAACAUCAAUAUUUUCACAGAAUCGCAAGAAAUGAAUGGGCACACCAAGGACUGAACUGCGUAAAUGAUAAAAGUACAUCAACAAGAAGGAAGCAGCAAAGCCCCGUACAGAAGGAGAGUGACUCCGAUCAAAAAUUAGUUGAGUUCUUGAAUAUUGAAAUAAAAAAUAAAUAUGAAAUUGAAAUCCAGUCUUAUGUAUUCCUGGGGAAAACUUCCAGAUAUUUGAUUUUUGAAUGCUUCUAUGUGCAUUCCUGGGUACAUGUUACAGGUGCAUUAAAAAAGAGUACACCCAGAAGGAGUUUAGUAUGUUGCUUCCAGGUGCAUUAAAAAAGAACUCACCCAGAAUGUGUUUAGUUUGUUGCUUCCAGGUGCAUUAAAAAAGAGUACACCCAGAAUGUGUUUAGUUUGUUACUUCCAGGUGCAUUCCAGAUAUAUGCUUCCAGAAGCAUGCAACGGGUGCAUUCUUUUUUGUCCCGCACCCGUGUAAAAAGAAUGGACAGACUCAUCACUUCCGGAACACCUUUUUGAUGCCAUUUCAUAAUGAAAGAACGCAUGCUGGAAUGCUGUCAUUUACGACUGGGCUGGAAUGCUGUCAUUUACGACUGGGGUGCCCUAGCGAACACACACAUGUACAUUUGCUGCAACACAUCUACACACAAACAGCGUGCGUUUACCGUUCCUGGCAAAGUCAUAGAACGAAGCGUAUAAAACUGGAUUACAUCUUGGAGGUUCCUGUUGAGAUCCAAACAAAAAGUGGAAACUGCUAGAUUUUGACGAAACUUGGCUGACAAAACGGAAUUAAUGAGGGAGAUUUCAGACUGGAAUCUCGUUAUCGAAAAAUUAAAUAAAACCCAUCUUACUCGGCGUAAGGAUGUGAAAACUCUCGACGGAGCUGAGUUUUUGAAAGUAUGCCGGGCGCCGGAAUUGAUUUAAAUCUUUUACCAAAGCAGAGACUAUUGAUAACUUACAAAACUAAUUAUUGUUUAGCUAUUAAGAUUGGUAAUACUCUACUAUUGUAUCUAUUGGUAAUAUACUGAUCACUGUAAAAUAAUUAUAAGUGUAACUGUAUUAUUUGUACCCUCCAGCAAGCCGUUA